rnacentral:lncRNA from 10 species
GGCAGUGUGUGAUAGUUUUCAAUGUGUGACUGUCACACAAGGGGGUGUGUGUGUGUGUGUGUGUGUGUGUGUGUGUGAAAGAGAGAGAGAGGAGGGAGAGAGAAAGAAGAAAUAAUUCCAAGUAUGGGCAAACACAGCUCAUUGGAUUCUCAGAACUUGUUAGAGCUGGAGUCUACAAUGUAGAGGAAGAAAUGGUCUAGUAUGAAGUGAAGCUGGAGAAAGGCAGUGGAAAAUCUCCACCGAAGUGCAAAUCGCAGCCACCAAAACCAGACCUACUGAAUCAAAAUAUAGAGGUAGGUCCUGGGGAUCUACAUUUGUAACAAGUUUCCUAUGUGCUUCUUACACUCACUCAAGUUGAGAUGCCAUCCACGGCAGAUGGUGGGGAAACUCUGAGGGCGUUUCCUCUUCCUUCCGUUCUUAAUCAUUAUUCUUACCAUUGAUUAGCCCCACCCAGUGGACUGAGGGGCUUAGAUCAUGGCUCAGUCUCACUUAGCCAUGACAGUGAUGUGGGCAAGAGGGGAGGACAUACCACCAUCUAUGAAAGGUAAUAGCCACCGCUAUUGACACAUCUGGCCAUUUGCCUGACUAUUCCUUGUGCUCCAGACCAAUAUAUGCAGUUCUUGGAUUGGACUGAUUGAGAAGGAAGGGGAUCCUGAAUGUUACAAUAGCCAUAAGUAAGAAGACAGUGAUAAAGCUGGGGACAUUAAGCCUCUAAGUUUUGCUCUUUAGGCCUUAAUGAUUGACAUGAUCUUGGAAAACAGGUAUGUAGCAAAACUCUCCUAGAAACCUGAAAGAUGUGGCAAGAAGAAAACAUGGAGCCUUUUCUGAACAAGCCUAUGAGAGAAGAAGAAUCACUUCAAUUUAUUAAGUGUGGAUUCUGGGGCUAAAGAACUUACCUACAACCACACAGCCAGCAAAUUACUGACCCAGCAUAUUCUGAACCCAGGUCUUUAUUCUUUCCAAAACUUCACAGCACCUUCCUCAGAGCAUCUCUACAUGAAAAUCUGUAUAAAGAAGUGAUCUGUGGUGUCGCCAUUUGUAUCAAAAUGGUAUCACAAACUUAUUUAAAAGGCUUCAUCUAAAAGUCUUCAGAGUUUUGGCCAGGGAAGAGCUCUAAUAUCACACAUUAAUAACCUUACCUUUGUAACAUGUAAAUUGUUUUUUGUUUUAACAUCUCAGUUUCAUUAAACUGAGACCAGAAAGAGCCAUCAUCUUUUUACCAAUUUGUAAUCAUUUUAUUGUGUUAUGGACCUGCAGCAAUGCUGACUAUAUUUACAAAUCUGUGAGUGAAAUUUUAAAACCAUUUUCCUCUUCUAAUCUCUCCCAUCCUGCCUUCUUAGAAGCACACAAAGCAUCUCAACCACUCCCAAAUUCCCUGUUGGAAUACCCUUAAUGAUUCUGAAAUAUUUUGUUAUUCCCCAAACACCUCCCUAAGACGAAUCACUGGACUCCAGGCUCUUCACAUUGCCAAGUUGAAUCGAGUUCAAAUGUUCUAUCUAACCAAACUCUAACUUACAACAAAGCCACAUAUAGUAGAUGAUGUGUAAGAUAUUCCGAAAAUACCAAGGCAACAGGGAAAAAAAAUCUGUGUCAUCAAGAGGUCCUCCCAGAACUUCUUGUAAUCUAGAAUAAUCAAUUUUGUCAAGCUCCUGUAACCUAAUCAUAGCACACAUGUGUAUAUAUGUAUAACUAAUAACAUAAAUCAACUUUCAUUUUAAUAAUGUAUAGCUUAAGUUUUCUCACAUCCAAAACAAUUAGUGUUGCCAAAUUUAAGAUUAUUUCUCUACUUUAGACAUCAGAACAUGCACAAGGACUUGAGGAAUAAACAAAUCCAAGAAAACAAUCUUAGCCUGAUAAAGUAAAAAUUUUGAAUAAAUUCAUAAAUCAUUUAAAACACAAUCUUGUUAAAUUAGCUAUUUCAUAGUAUGUUAUGAAUGUAAAAGCAGAACACAGAAAAGGCAUUUUCCAAAAAGAUAUAGGACUUAGUAGGAUUUCCUUUUAUGUUAAAAAAUGGCCCAUGGAAGAGCAGUUUUCAGAAUGACCAGGGCAUAGUCAGACACCUCUUUCAUUGGAAGCUUCACCAAAGGGCACACUUCUCCUGAACUCAGAGUUUUGAGUCCAGACCCAGCUCUUGCCAAAGUUCACUGGGAGUUUUGCUAAGCUUCAAGAUGAUCCCACCUGAAAGCUCUUUGGAGACAAAGUUAAGGCCUUCUUCUUGCCGCUGUUGGGUUUAUUUGACCCCAGAAGCUCUGCCCCAUCCUGCCUCUAGGAUGAAUCCUAAGUGGAAACAAAAGACACUAAGGGAGCUCUAUCGCCGUAACGAGGAAUUCACAUCAUGUCACCGUACUUAGUUAGUCCAGCCCUGAUCAUAUGCCUCAAUGCUGGUAACUGGGCAUCUUCUUUCUUCUCCUUCUGAUAAUCAGAUCAAGAAUUCGCCUCCUCUUGAAAGCAUUUUCACAGUAGGUAUAAAUAUUUGCUAAAUUAAUGACAAAAAGACUUUACACCAGUGUCCCUCUUGGUUUAGAGCUCUGCCAGGUCCUUGUCAGUACGUCCUUUAAUCCCCUACCUCUUCACUCCUGGCAGCCUUCCCUGAUGCUGGCUGACCAUCAGUAGCCUACACCUGAGAGCAUCAGAAGUACAAGAUAUCUUCCUCGAUUCCUACUGCCACAUUCAUCCACCUUUAGGACUUCUCACUUAUUCCAUUAGACUCUGUAAAGCCAGCUGCUUUUCUGAUCCAUGCUUGCUUGUCAUACCCAGUGGAUACCACCUUCUAUUUGCCAACUGUUCUCUCUCAGGGUCUAAAACAGGUCUAUAUCCUCAGGGCCUGCCUCACUUGGUUCCUGUUCCAGCUCGUGGCUUAGCCAUACCACAGGACCCUCACUGGGUUAACUGGAAAGAUGCUGUUUAGUCUUGGCUACCAUGGCAGAACCCUGACAGCACACAAAGCAGUGCAAGUAAUAUUCAACUUCAAAAAAUGUUAUCUUUCAAAAAUAUGCUUGCAAAUAGAUUCUCUAGCACUUGGGAAUGCAUGUCUCUACACCAACAACUCAUACACUUCAGUAGUCAUUCCUUCAAACACAUUCACUGAGUAUCUUCUUACUUUGCACAGUUCUUGGCACAGGAGAAGAGAAAGUGAGACACAACCUUGUUCCUCCAGAAGUUCACAGAAGAACAAAGGAGACAGUGAUAGAAAUGAUACAUAUGCAAGGCAGCAUUUGGAAAAAUAGAGGACUAUCCGCAGUACGGUGAGAACAAGAAAGAAGAGGUGAGCCCUCUGCCUGGGCGGAUCAGGAAGGUUCCACAAAGAGACAUUCCACUGAGGCCUAAAGAAUGAGGAAGCAUGCACCAGGCAGAUGAGUGGAGAAGGGUGUUCCUGGUAUGUGGUUGUCAGGUUGCCAGACCAACACCCAAGUGUCAAUUUAACCCCAACUGUAGCUCCGCCAGUGCUGCAGGCUUAUGUCAGAAACAGAAAUGGGAUAGGUUUUUGUAGGCCAGCCUGGGAAUACUUGUUUCUGUUGGGAGAUUAGCUCUAAAACCCUCAAUAAAAGAGAGUUGGCCCUGGGCUUAUGCCAACACAUAUGUACCCACUGCCACUACCACCACUCAUCACCUUGGGCAAACAAGAAAAGCAGUUCAGUGUCAGGAGGAACAAUUCUUGCACUUUCACUUUCUUUCACUAACUGAUCUUGUGAAUGCAAGGUCAUGAGUAAGGCCUUUUGGGGACUGCACAUACAAGACAGGUCCACACUCCAAGGAGCUUAACAACAGGCUAUGCUAGGCCAGGUGCAGUGGCUCACACUUGUAAUCCCAGCACUUUGGGAGGCCGAGGCGGGUGGAUCACGAGGUCAGGAGUUUGAGAGCAGCUCGGCCAACAUAGUGAAACCCCAUCUCUACUAAAAAUCCAAAAAUUAGCCAGAUGUGGUGGCACACACCUGUAGGCCCAGCUACUCAGGAGGCUGAGGUGGGAGAACCACUUGAACCCAGGAGGCAGAGGUUGCAGAGAGCUGAGAUCAUGCCAUUGCACUCCAGCUUGGGUGUCAGAGUGAGACUCUUUUUAAAACAAACAAACAAACAAACAAAACAGGCAACAGGCUAUGCAGGCAAGACCCGUGCAUAUAAAAUAACUGAGAGUCCAAGGCAGUAGCUGCCAAAAUAAUGACACAUUCUAUAAGCACUACUGUCCUAGCCAUCACUGCUUUCUGGAGAGAAUAAUUCAAUUUAGUUGAAAAAGUGUUUUACAUUAAAUGCCCACUAAAAGUCUGUUGAUUAUGUAAGACUGCAUUCUGAAUUUCACAAGGCAGGAUCCACCAAGUUCCAUAAAUGUAAAUAAGUUUUCCUCCCAAAAGUAACAGGUUAAGUCAACUCUGGAAAGACUAUGGGGAGUUUAAUUAAUAGGAAUUCUGGUUUACUCAAUACAAGAAACACAUCAAACUGAAUAGGUAUGAAAAAGCAUUUCCCACCAGUUGAAGCUGUCUGAAUUAAAAUGAACCGCCUUGGGAGGUAAUAAGUUUCCCGUCAAGCUAGAUAAUUACUUGGCAGUGAUUUGGUAGGGGUGAUGCAAGCAUUCAAUGACCAGUAGGCUCCCUUCCAGUCCUGUGAUUGUGUGAAUUUCUGCAGCUCCCCCUUGAUAACACAAUAAAACCUGGGAACCCACACUGCAAGGUUUUCAAUGUUGAAGAUUAGCCAUGGGUUAGGCUUAUUCAGGGUACCAGAGCCUAUUCUGAAUGGUGGUGAGGAAACAGAGAAUGGGAAGGUCGAACUUCUACCAAGAACCUGACCAAACUCCCAGGGUGCUAGUCAGUAUCUGGGGAGAGCUUCAGAAUGCCAAAACUCAUUAGUGCUCAAAAAAGGUCAUAGUUAUUAGACAAGGGCACUCCAUUAUGAAGUCCUAACUAAAGAACUAAAAAAAAAAGCCCCUUGAAGACAAGAUGUGUAGGAUUCUAGAGUAUUUUGAAAGGCUCUUCCAAUGCUGACCCCUGAGGGUCCCUCAUGAAUGUUAGCACAUCCAGAUUCUUGGGAAACUCCAAGCAAAGCUGUUGUCAAAGAUGUGCCCAAGAAGAGUGCCUCCAAAAGUAAACAAGCAGGAGAUAGACAAGACAGUUAUACAGGUCUCCUGAGUAAAGUAUACAGGACUGAGAUGGUGAAUGCAGAAGAGGAGUAACAGCCUGAGGGGACCCGGACAACCAAGAAACUGGUUGUUUAAAAUCCUGGCAUCUUGUAAAUUUGUUUGAGUUCAUUGUUGAUUCUGGAUAUUAGCCCUUUGUCAGAUGAGUAGAUGGCAAAAAUU